GAAAAUAAGGCAACACCAAUAGAAUGUGCUUAAUCUCUAUUUAAUUAAUAUAUAAGUUGAGACAAUAUACAAAAAAAAAUGCAAUGUACAUACUUUAAUAGUACACGAUACAAUAGAAAUUGAGAUAAAUAUAUCAUGAAUAUACAAUAGAAAUUGUGUCUAUCCUAGUUGCACUCAGGCUUUAGCUAAUCUUCCACAAACUCUAGAGUUUCCUUGUAGUUGGAGAACUGGUACAAUAUCAAGCUCGUGUUGAGCUUUUCUGCUUGUAUAUGGCACAUUAUGUGCACUAAUUACUUGGUAUUGGAUAUAAAGUCCUGACCUAUUUAAUCUCAUGCUUCAUGUGUUACCUAAAAUUNNNNNNNNNNNNNNNNNNNNNNNNNNNNNNNNNNNNNNNNNNNNNNNNNNNNNNUUGCUCACCUAAAAUCACUCUUUAAGGUCGCAGUCCCGUUGUCGAGAUGAACUAAAUAAUAAAUUUCAAGCUUGAUAUUGAAAGCUACUCCCAUAUUUCCCUUCAGCGUGUAUACACUUUAACCAAUAGAUCUUGAAAGACAUCAACAACUGUUGAACCUCGCAAUACAACAUUGUGAAAUCAAAGAGUACACACAUUAAAUUAUGGAGACUUUAAGUAACUAAAAAAUCUAAUAUGCCUCUUUGGAAUAUUGGCAGGAUCUUCCUUUAUAACCUUCGCCUAUGAAAUAAUCAUCUAUUUUGUACCCCCCCAUUGCAUUGCAUUACACUGUCCACUAUACCAUAUUUAAAAAAAUAGAAUUUAAAAUAUUUGAUCGGAUACAUCAAAUAUGGAAGUCUCCACUUUGAAUUUGGUGCCUCUGGCAGCUUGAACUUGAAGGUGUGCCAUGUGUUACCUGCAAUGAUGUGUCCAUUUACAAACAUAGUUAGCCACAACUCUCAACCUCACCAUUGAAAGUUAAAAUGUUUAUUAAAGUUAAAAGUUAAAAUGUUUAAUCAAGAAACAUACAUACAUGCUUAUUAUAGUUGCAGCCACAUGAUUAUGUGGUUAAAAAUUAUGCAGGCUGGAUCUUGGAGUUAUAACAGAACUGAAAAGUGGUUCCAAGUGCUCUUUAAUUUGUAAAAACAUUUUCAAAGUUAAUUCAAGAAUAUUACUUUCAUCAAAGAGAAUGAAACAAUGGUAACACUUUCUCAGCCCUGUCAUAAACAAUCCAGUUUAGAAUACAAUCUAAAAGGCUCAUUGACAUUAUGUAAGUGCUCACAUCCAAAUCCAUCAAAUUUCAUUCAAGCACUUUCCACAUUUUCAUUUACUGUUGCCCAAUUUAUGAUCUUUUUUUUCAUAUCAGAAAACUGAUAAUUGAAUGCCCAAUAAUUUCAAGAAACUAAAAAUUAGGUAAAUAAUCUUUUUACUUGAUAAUAGAUUAGGGAAAUCUCCGAAUAAUGUAGAGAAGUUCAAAAAACCAUUCCAGGAUCAACAAAAAUGAACUUAGAAAAGAGGACUCGCCCAUUUAAGAACCACCAAAAUCAUUACCAAAUCCUCAUUUACAAAUUAAGACAUCGGCAACUGCAACAUACAGAGCAACAUAGCAUCAAUGAGAUUGGUAGCAGAAUCAAAUCAAACAAAUAAAGAACCAUAGAAAGCUUAAUAAUCACUAUAUAAGCACUUUGGCUUUUAUGUUCCAACACUAUUUACUUGAUUGCUUGCAAAGUGAAGUCUUUCUUUUAAGUGAGGCCUUAAAUAUUCAAAGUGAAAAAAUCAUUCAUAAAUUUAUAAGAAAGCGAAAGUUAUAGAAAUAUUCAUAAACUAAAAAAUAAUAUAAGAAUUAGUUUUUGCAUCAAUCAACAUUUCAUAUAAUAUAUAUGCAUAAAUUGUGAUCCAAUGAAUCACCAAUAAAAAUCACAAUGCAACUUCGUAAAAGUAAUCAACAGUUACAACAUAACUACAUGUCUUUUCUCAAUGCAUAUUUAUCUCAUGAAUGACCAUUAACUUAAACAGAAUAAAAAAUCACAACUUUGAUUUAUAGUUAAAUAGUUAAAUUCAUAUGAAUGAAAGAUCUAUAUAAUUGAUGUACGAUAAGAAACUAAUAGAAGUUGGAAUCAGCAUGUUUCUUUCAAUGUGGUCAUGUUAUAAGUAGGUAAUUACCUUGAUUAAAAACUAUACCAUAAACAGAUUAGUGGAAAGUACACACACUUCUUUGAUAUAACUUUUUUAAGCUUGUGUAUUAAAAUAAUGAACAAAGUGAAAGCAUUAGACACUUCCAUCUGCACAUGAAUUAGAAGCAUUUCAGAGGCAAAGGUUUCAAAAUAAAUAAGGAACCAUAAAUAUAUUAUAAGCAUAAGUCUAUAACCUUACUUUUGAGAAGCAUGCAAUUCCUCAAAAUUAGGACCUCGAGCAAAUUUCUACCAAUGCAGCUGCCAAGUUUCCUGAGAGAAGAAUUCAACUAACAAAUUUAGGACCAGUAUAAGAAAGAAACACACUACUAUAAGAACUCAGCAGACCACCUCUAAAAGAAGCUUCAUGUAAAUAACAAAUCAAAAUAAGAAAAACAUAUAGUAGUUAUCAAACUCUAAUUCUAAAACAAAAAAGUAAAGCCAAAGAAAUACAAAAUUAGGGAUUAGAAAUACAAAUGAAAUAAAAUAGAUGGCUAUUAAAAAUUAGGUAUUUUGAAAAAGAAAGAGUAUACCCAGAAUCAAACAAUAACAUUGUCGUCGUUGGGCCGUGUGCUCUGCUUCAUCGAUCUUUGUCGUCGUUGGGUUUGUGAACCUGAACAAACAAUAACAUUCCCAAAAAAAAAAUUAAAAAUCAGAAUAUGAAAUUAAAUCAUGAAAUAAGGAAGGGAUUGAGAAGCAAGUUAAAACCUUUCUUAUUGACAAAGCUGAAGAAGCAUAUACCCAAAAUUUGAGGAAAAAAGUUGACAACAUAGAAAACCAUAUCAAAAACACGACAAAGAUAAACGUUGUUUUUGAAAAAUUUUGGAGGGGUUUUUGAAAUUUGAAAGCAUGAUGCAUUAGUCAAAGUUUGCAGAGAACACUUAGUUUUUCACCAAAAUGGAAGUUUUUGUUGAAGAUGGAGAGAAAGAAGACAUCAACAAAGCAGAAAGGGAAGAGAAAGAUUCUUUCCUUUUUCUUUUUUUAAAUUUUUUUUCUUUCUUUUUUCUGUUAUAUUGAAUUUUAAAAUUUGCAAA
rnacentral:lncRNA from 1 species